ACAUUGAUGGGUCAGUGGUAGAAUUCUCGCCUUCCAUAUGGGAGGCCUGGGUUCAAUUCCCGGCUAAUGCC
rnacentral:tRNA from 1 species